CCCUAAUAGACACAGCCCUAUCUCUCAGUGUUACUGAUAUUUGAUACCUAAACCCAGUUUGAAAGAAAACUAUAGGACCUGCUUGGGAGAAAUAUAUAGGAGCUUGUUAUUACCUAGAUGAAUGGUUCAAAUUUGUACCAGCCCUGAAAGGGGUUACACUGUGUUCCAAUCACUGGGAAAAUCAUUUAAAAAUAAUCUAGAGAUUGU